UUUAAUAACUUGCGUAGCCAAGCUCCUCUGUGUGUAUGUGCAUGCAUGUUUGUAUGCGUCUGUGUGUGUGUGUGUGGGGGGGGGGGGAAACAGAGUGAGAGAGAGUGGGGUGAGACACAGGGAGGAAAAACAGAGAGACAGAGUGUGUGUGAAAGAGAGAGAAUGAGAAAGAGGGAGAGAGACAGACAGAUCGGGCAGGACAUCAGAAGAUCGGACAGCGUGUGUGAAUGUGUUUGAGUAUGUGUGUUUGUGUGUGUGUGGGACAGAGGCAGGGAGAGAGGGAGGGAGGGAGAAGAACCCAUUCCCCUCAGUUCCACACUAACUUUUCAACGUGUGCACUUGAGGGAAGUUGGCUGUUCGACCGGCUACGGAGGGGUUUUUCCUUCCCUUUUCUCCCACCUAUACACUUUUCCACGUUCUGCAACAACAUCGACGAGACAAGCAGAGUACUUCAACUGAAUAACUAUCCGCUAUUAUUUCACACAGGGGACUGGGAUGUGUAGCGUGUGUGAGGAGGAGAUGGAAUAUGCUGGGGGAGAAAGAGGCGCUGCUCUGGGCUAGGUAAGAGGAGACCUGUGGUCAAGAAGAGAGCUCCAGUAUUGGAAGGCCGGCUGAAGCACUCACCAAACAGCUGGGAGUGUUCACUCUUUCUUUAUGCCAAAACAAAAGAGCCUGAAAUAGAGUUUCAACUCAGCAGAUGUGGCAAGAACAAUCACAGGGGUGGAACAACACGUUUUCACACAUUUUUCAGUUUCGGUUUAAAUUGACCUUAAAUAAAAAGUGAAACAAUCAGCUUGA